UUCGUACAGCUAAAGGAUGCUUGGAAUUUGCCUAGUCGUUCUACUCGUUUUGUCAGGGGCAAAUGGAGAUCUCAAUAGCUGUGAGCCUGACCCGAGAGACGCCAUCAUUUACGCCAACCAGCUAGCUCGUGCCGUGAAGCAUUUCAUGAAAAAUUGCAUGGGCUUUAUGGAUUGCUUCAAAGGCCGACCAACAAUCAACCUUAUCAUUGAGUUUCUUGGCUAUGGUUGCAACGUAACCUUGGACUGUGCGAAGAAACUUGGAACUGAGGAU